CGUGCCAGGCGGGGAAUUAGCGGCGCCCUGUACCUACAAUCCGCUGCAGUAGGGCUUCAUUCCCGUCCUGAGGGGUCGGUCCGUACAGCCGGCUCGGUGAGAAGCGUUGAGAAUCGGGUCCCGUGCAAUUAACUGCCGUGAACCAUGUCAGGUCCUGACGGAAGCAGCAUUAAGCGGAUUUGUUGAUGUGCCGCGGGCCAGCCUGAUUUGAGCUUCAUAUCCGAAUACCGUGUAUGGUCCCUUCUUCGAAGGACGGGUGCAC
rnacentral:SRP_RNA from 1 species